UACGUAGGUGGCAAGCGUUGUCCGGAUUUAUUGGGCGUAAAGGGCGCGUAGGCGGUUUGUUAAGUCGGCUGUGAAAGCCUGGGGCUCAACCCCAGAGGGUCGGCCGAUACUGGCAAACUAGAGUACGGAAGAGGUAGCUGGAAUUCCCGGUGUAGCGGUGAAAUGCGUAGAGAUCGGAAAGAACACCAACGGCGAAAGCACUCUGCUGGGCCGACACUGACACUGAGAGACGAAAGCUAGGGGAGCGAAUGGG
rnacentral:rRNA from 1 species